CCUACGGGUGGCAGCAGUGGGGAAUAUUGCACAAUGGGGGAAACCCUGAUGCAGCAACGCCGCGUGAGUGAAGAAGGAUUUCGGAUUGUAAAGCUCUGUUAGCAGGGAAGAGGAAGGACGGUACCUGCAGAGGAAGCCACGGCUAACUACGUGCCAGCAGCCGCGGUAAUACGUAGGUGGCAAGCGUUGUUCGAAUUAACUGGGCGUAAAGGAUGCGUAGACGGUGAAACAAGUGUGAUGUGAAAGAUAUAGGCUUAACCUGUAGAAAGCCUAUGAAACUGUUUAACUAGAGUGCAGGAGAGGUAAGUGGAAUUCCUAGUGUAGCGGUGAAAUGCGUAGAGAUUAGGAGGAACACCAGUGGCGAAGGCGACUUACUGGACUGUAACUGACGCUGAGGCAUGAGAGCAUGGGGAGCAAACAGGAUUAGAUACCCUUGUAGUC
rnacentral:rRNA from 1 species